UGUUAGCUGUCUGUUUAAAACACAGCCUGUCCUGAAAUUAACUCCUUAAAUUCUUCUGCAGGGAAAUCAUUUGCCAUUGUGGUGUCAAUCAGCCAGUUAUCGAGCAGUUGUUAAAACAAUUUUGUUUAUGGAGCUUCGACUCCUUCUUUUCCCAGGCAUAGAUAAUUGCUUUCAGUUCCUCCGUAAGAGUUUGUCCUUGUCCCUUAACAGCUUAUUUCAGGCAGAUUUAUUGCUGAUUCUCUCAAUCCAUGGAAAUUUCUGAAGUUUGCAGCAUGUUUACAAUGACUAGUUAACUGCUGUCUGAUUUGACCCUAGUAAGCUGCUCAGUUAAGGGGCAAUUAGGGAUAAGCAACAAAUGCUGUCCUUGCCCAAGGUGGCCACAUCUCAUGAAAACAUGAAGAUUAAAUAAAAACCUCCAGUGAAAUGAAUUGAUUCACCGUAGCCUGAAGCACUCCAUUUUAUGUUGCAGGUUUGUUGCAGUAUUUCCCGUGCUUUCUCGAUCAUGUCCCUAUCAGAAGAUGGAAGCAGUUUAUGCGAAAACUUCAACUAACUGAAAAUGAGAUUGUCGAGGCUGAACGCAACAAUGUAAAUGACAUUAGGGAAGGACACUAUCAGAUGCUUCGUACUUGGUUUCAGAAAGAGGGUAACAAAGCCACGAUUACGUUUCUGCUGCAGACUCUAUAUGACAUGGAACUGGUGAAAGCAGCGAAUGACGUAAACCAAUCUAUACUUGAUGAUGGAACCAAAGAGCACUGAAUUUUGGGAAUGAUUUUGCAGAAAUUUUUGAUCAGAAGUGCAAGCGGUUGGACGAGGUCUGCUGGGGCUAGCGCGGACUGACACUGCACAGCACUUUUGGCUUGGAAUAUUGAAAAGGACUCUGGGUUCAGUGACUACAGACUAUACUGACAGCAGGACAUUCCUAAUUCCUGUGUCACUACCUCGACCCUUGAUGUUUUUUGAAUUCAGUAUUGGUUACCAAGGAAGUUUAAAGCACUUGCCUAGAGUAACUAAACUGGCAUUUGUUAAAAGAUAGGGAUAUUUGUAUUUUUUAAGACUUUUUAAUAAAGAUAUUUUUAAAGACUA